rnacentral:lncRNA from 1 species
UGGAAAGAAACCAGAUGUCCCUCAACAGAGGAAUGGAUACAGAAAAUGUGGUACAUUUACACACUGGAGUACUAUUCAGCUAUUAAAAGCAAUGAAUUUAUGAAAUACCUAGGCAAAUGGAUGUAUCUGGAGGAUAUUAUCCUGAGUGAGUAACCCAAUCACAAAAGAAGUCACUUGAUAUGCACUCACGGAUAAGUGGAUAUUAGCCCAGAAACCUAGAAUACCCAAGAUACAACUUCCAAAACACAAGAAAAUCAAGAAGGAAGACCAACGUGUGGAUACUUCAUUCCUCCCUAGAAUAGGGAACAAAACACCCAUGGAAAGAGUUGCAGAGACCAAGUUUGGAGCUAAGAUGAAAGGUUGGACCAUCCAGAGACUGCCCAACCUGGGGGUCCAUCCCAUAACCAGCCACCAAAUGCAGACACUAUUGCAUAUGCCAGCAAGAUUUUGCUGAAGGGACCCUGAUAUAGCUGUCUCCUGUAGGCUUUGCCAGUACCUGGCAAAUACAGAAGUGGAUGCUCACUGUCAUCUAUAGGAUGGAACACAGGGCCCCCAAGAUAGAGAAAGUACCCAAGGAGCUGAAGGGGUCUGCAACCCUAUAGGUGGAACAACAAUAUGAACUAAUCAGUACCCCCAGAGCUCAUGUCUCUAGCUGCAUAUGUAGCAGAAGAUGGCCUAGUCAGCCAUCAUUGGGAAGAGAGGCCCCUUGGUCUAGCAAACUUUAUAUGUACAGGGAAACACCAAAAAGUGGGAGUGAGUGGGUAGGGGAGCAGGGUCGGGGGAGGGUAUAGGGGACUUUUGGGAUAGCAUUUGAAAUGUAAAUGAAGAAAAUAUCUAAUAAAAAGUGGGGAGAAAAAACACUCAAUAGAACAAAAGGAACCUAAACUUCCACAGAAUAAGACAGAGACAGUAUCCCUUUUUCAGAUUCAAGUUGUACUGACUAGAUAACUUGCUGAACUGUCUCAAGCCUGUGCUUUUGAUAGCAGGAAAAUGUGAACAAUGUUCUCUGAUUGCCUAAGCUUGGAUCGUGAUGAAAAGGCGUUUGUAAUGGGCCAAGAACCAAAUAAAUAAUACUGAUUUGUCUCAAAAAAAUCUAUAAAUUUAUGAGACAUACAAAUAUAUACUAAUGAUAUAUAUAUAUGCAUAUAUAUGACAGGUGUGGUGGUAUACUCCUGUAAUUAGCUGAAAAGCUGAUGCAGGAGGAUAGCUGUGAGUUCAAGGAAAGCCUAGAAUACGUAGCAAAUUCCAGACCAGUCUGAGGAUCACAGAAAGAGAUCUUGCUGCAGUAAGUGAAUAAAAGGAGUCAGCAAGUGGUCUCAGCCAGUAAACCCAUUACCACCAAUCCUGACGAUCUGAGGUCAAUGUUCUGGACACACAAGGUGGAGAGACAGGUUUCUUUUGACUUCCACACAUGGAGAAAAACACACACACACAUCCAUGUAAUGUAAAUUCAAAACAGAGGAAAGAAGUUGAUAGACAUAGUUCAUAGGUUUUCAUAAGAUCUUGCUGAAGAAUUGAACCAGCUGAAAUACAUCACCUUGCCCAGUCUCAGGCACAUCCCAUAUCACACACUUGAUGAUUCCUGUUGAAUUCAUUCUUAUCUACAUUAAAACAUUUACAUGUCUGUGAUAUAUUCCUAAAUAAAUUUUACUUUAUAAAUUCCUGGACAAAAUGUUUUCUUAUGAGGAAAUACAAUUUUUAUUGAAUGUACCAAUGUAAGAAAGAGAUUAAGCAUUUAAAAGUUAGUGAGGUCACCUGUCAAGGGAAUCCCUUGUAUCUGAAUAGUCUGUGAAUAAUGGCAUCAGAUCAUAGGGUCCAAAUGAGAAUAUUAUUACUUCGAAAGUUGUGAAAGAGCGUCUGUAUCUAACUCUUCUCUUUCUAAGCUUGCCAUAUGCUGUGGAAAAUAUCCUGAGUCUAUGAAUGUGACUCUAUUUGCUCCCAGCUCUACAACCCUCUGGUUUUAAGUUCCCACUGAAGAAAAGUGCUACAAUAAAGCCAAAGGCUUACUCAGUCUUCCUGGGUAAUUGAGUUCUUUAACAGGAUUAAAACUUCCUAUCCACCCUAAGGGCUGCCUUUUUGCCUUUUUUCUUUCCCUUUUUUUUUCCUUGCUAAAUGAAGGCAGCCUAUUGUUCCUUACUAAGAAGGUCUAUCUUUAACUUGUGUGACCUCUCAUCCAAGCCAGCUGAAGCCUACUAGAGUGUGCUUUCUGAGCCUCUAAACAAAAUUGCUUGUAGUGCCAUGCACCCUCACUCUUGCCUUGGUCGUUCGUGGUGGUGUUAGCCAUCCUCUGUUCCCAUCAGUGCUGUUGGGCUUUCCCAACAUCUCCACUCUUGCUCUUCCUUCUCCUGAGGGCCAACCCUCCAAGGCGAGCACUUGGAACAUUAUUCUGUGCACCCAUCCCAUAAGUACUUACUGAUUAGCUAUGUCUCCUAGGCAUCCUAUUAGGGUCUCAUGAAAAUUUAAUUAUGAUAACUGCUUGUAGGAACUCAGACACUUGGAGAAUAAAUAACAUCUGCAAGUUAGCAUCCUGCUCUUCCCAACAGAGCAUUUCUUUAGCACUUUGUUCAAAACUUCCUAGGAAAAGAAUCAUACUAAAACUGCUUAUAGGAACCUAUAUCAGAGCGUAUGUUCUUAAGACUGAAAUAAAUAUUCUUUGGAUCAACCAAUUCACUUGUAAAAGAAUUAGACUCACACCACACAAGUAUCAGCAUAUUUUGUAUUCCUUCAUCUAUGAUAUUUUCAUUAUUUUUAUUAGUCACCAAAGGAGUUCACCUAGAGAAUGGCCCAGUGGGCACAAUGGUUGGUUGUGGGAUCAUACAUUCAAGUCCAACCUGACAUACAUAGUUAAGGCUUAUCUUU